AUUGAACGCUGGCGGCAGGCUUAACACAUGCAAGUCGAGCGGAGCGAGGGUGCUUGCACCUUAGCUUAGCGGCGGACGGGUGAGUAAUGCUUAGGAAUCUGCCUAUUAGUGGGGGACAACAUUACGAAAGGAAUGCUAAUACCGCAUACGCCCUACGGGGGAAAGCAGGGGAUCUUCGGACCUUGCGCUAAUAGAUGAGCCUAAGUCGGAUUAGCUAGUUGGUGGGGUAAAGGCCUACCAAGGCGACGAUCUGUAGCGGGUCUGAGAGGAUGAUCCGCCACACUGGGACUGAGACACGGCCCAGACUCCUACGGGAGGCAGCAGUGGGGAAUAUUGGACAAUGGGCGGAAGCCUGAUCCAGCCAUGCCGCGUGUGUGAAGAAGGCCUUUUGGUUGUAAAGCACUUUAAGCGAGGAGGAGGCUCUUAAGGUUAAUACCCUUGAUGAGUGGACGUUACUCGCAGAAUAAGCACCGGCUAACUCUGUGCCAGCCGCCGCGGUAA
rnacentral:rRNA from 1 species